rnacentral:rRNA from 1 species
UUCGCAAUGCCCGAAAGGGUGACGAAGCGACGCCGCGUGUGGGAAGAAGGCCUUCGGGUUGUAAACCACUGUCGGGAGUUAGGAAAUGCAGGUGCGUUAAUAGCGCACUUGCUUGACUAAGGCUCCAGAGGAAGCCACGGCUAACUCUGUGCCAGCAGCCGCGGUAAUACAGAGGCGGCAAGCGUUGUUCGGAAUUAUUGGGCGUAAAGAGCACGUAGGCGGCCUUGCAAGUCAGUUGUGAAGGCCUUCCGCUUAACGGAAGAACGGCAUCUGAUACUACAGGGCUUGAGUACGGGAGGGGAGAGUGGAACUUCUGGUGGAGCGGUGAAAUGCGUAGAUAUCAGAAGGAACGCCGGCGGCGAAAGCGACUCUCUGGUCCGAAACUGACGCUGAGUGUGCGAAAGCUAGGGGAGCAAACGGGAUUAGAUACCCCGGUAGUCCUAGCCGUAAACGAUGGGCACUAAGUAGAGGGGUUUU